CAAACCACCGAGUGGUUGAGCCCCUUUAACGUCGAUACGGAUAGCCUCUCAAGCGAGUCCCUAGAGCUCAC